rnacentral:rRNA from 1 species
CCGCCGACACGGGUAACAACCUUUUUUGAGGCGUAAUUUUGGAUUUUGAAAAGUUUAAACCUUCGGGUUCAAAUAUUUGCGCUUUUUAGGGGUAAUUUCUCGUUCGGUAGGUUAACAUCGAUUUUGAACAUUAUAAAAUGAUCGGAGGAAUGUAGCUUCGAUCUCGUAUUGAAGUGUUAUAGCCUUUGGUAGAUGUAAUGAUCGAGAUCGAGGAUUGCAACGAAUACCCUUUUGGGCUAUCCGUCUGAUCUCUGAUACGUUGCCUCGGUAACGAAAGCGUGCUUACGGUAUUGAGGUAUUACGGUCAAAAGGUUAGAACGUGAUUACAUUCGUUAAGGAUGUUGACGUAAA